AGCACGUUGAGCCGGCUUUGCCGCUGCUUCUCUCGGGCUGCCUUCCGAUCAUGUCGUCCAAGAAGAACAGAAAACGGCUGAACCAAAGCGCCGGGAAUGGUUCGCCCUCGGCCUCCGCUGCUUCCUUUUCUGCGGGGGCCACAGCUUCUGCCGUGGCGGCCGGGGCUCUGGUGGUGAUCAACUUCUUAGAAAAGGACGACAAAGUUCCUAAAGCAUUCCAGAAUUCCCUUGUUCAACUUGGACUCAACACCAUGAAGUCUGCAAACAUAUGUAUUGGUCGACCAGUGUUGCUUACCAGUUUGGAUGGAAAGCAAGAGGUCUAUACGGCCUGGCCUGUGGCAGGAUUUCCUGGCGGCAAGGUUGGCCUGAGUGAAAUGGCACAGAAGAAUGUGGGUGUGAGGGUUGGUGAUGCCAUCCACGUCCAGCCUGUUUUGGGUGCUGUGCUGCAGGCUGAGGAAAUGGACGUGGCACUCAGUGACAAAAAUGCAGAUAUUAAUGAAGAGCAACUGACCGCUUGUCUUCUGAGAAAACUAGAUGGCAAGAUUGUUUUACCAGGCAACUUUCUGUAUUGUACAUUUUAUGGACGGCCUUGCAAGUUGCAGGUGUUGCGAGUGAAAGGAGCAGAUGGUGUGAUGUUGAGAAGGGCUCAGAAUGACUCUGAUACCGUUGCCCGGGGAACAGCCUCCGAGCCAUCCAGCGUGGAAGCUAGUACCCUGGAUAUAUCCUUACAGUUAAGCCAGUUAGGUCUGGAAGUGCCCCAAAACCCAACAUCAAGCAGUACUCCUUACAAGCCAGGAGAUGGCAGAAUGAUAAAUAAAGCUGGUGGCGUUUCGUCAGGUGUUACACAGAGUCCUGGGAAUGGCAGUGGACUUGGACUAGAGGCAGUCACGGGUCUUAAACGUCGUUCUCAGUCUGCCAGAGAAGGAAAUGAGCAACCUGUCAAUGAAGAGAGAUUGCUAAAGUCACCCAGCGUGGGAGCACAGCGCAACACCGAUACCUUUUAUUUUAUUUCUUCGACAACAAGAGUCAAUUUUACAAAGAUUCGUACAAAUUCAAAAGAUCAAGACAACCAAUUAAAAGUAACUUAUGACAUGAUUGGUGGCUUAAAUAGUCAGCUGAAAGAAAUUAGAGAAAUAAUUGAAUUACCUCUCAAACAGCCUGAGCUUUUCAAGAGUUAUGGAAUUCCUCCCCCUAGAGGAGUGUUGCUCUAUGGCCCUCCAGGUACUGGAAAGACAAUGAUUGCCAGGGCUGUUGCUAAUGAAGUUGGUGCCUAUGUUUCUGUAAUUAAUGGCCCUGAAAUUAUUAGCAAAUUCUAUGGGGAGACUGAAGCAAGGUUACGUCAGAUAUUUGCUGAAGCCACUCUGCGGCACCCAUCAAUUAUUUUUAUUGAUGAGCUGGAUGCACUUUGCCCUAAAAGAGAAGGGGCUCAGAAUGAAGUGGAAAAAAGAGUUGUAGCUUCACUUUUAACACUGAUGGAUGGUAUUGGUUCAGAAGGAAGUGAAGGACAGGUGUUGGUUCUCGGGGCCACAAAUCGCCCCCAUGCUUUGGAUGCUGCACUCCGAAGACCUGGACGGUUUGAUAAAGAAAUUGAGAUUGGAGUUCCGAAUGCACAAGACCGGCUAGAUAUCCUCCAGAAACUGCUUCGAAGGGUGCCCCAUUUGCUCACUGAAGCUGAGCUGCUACAGCUGGCAAAUAAUGCUCAUGGAUACGUUGGAGCAGACUUGAAAGCCUUGUGUAAUGAAGCAGGUCUUCAUGCCUUGAGGAGAGUCUUGAGGAAACACCCUAACCUCCCUGAUAGCAAGAUGGCUGGGUUGGUGAAGAUUACUCUGAAAGAUUUCUUGCAGGGGAUGAAUGACAUCAGGCCCAGUGCCAUGAGGGAGGUAGCAAUUGAUGUCCCAAAUGUAUCCUGGUCAGAUAUAGGAGGACUGGGAAAUAUCAAACUGAAGCUGAAACAGGCUGUGGAAUGGCCCUUGAAACAUCCCGAGUCUUUCACCCAAAUGGGUAUUCAGCCACCUAAAGGAGUUCUUUUGUAUGGGCCUCCUGGAUGUUCUAAAACAAUGAUUGCAAAGGCUUUGGCCAAUGAGAGUGGGCUGAAUUUCCUAGCUGUAAAGGGGCCUGAAUUAAUGAACAAAUAUGUUGGUGAAUCUGAAAGAGCAGUUAGAGAGAUCUUCCGAAAAGCGAGAGCAGUGGCUCCUUCCAUCAUUUUCUUCGAUGAACUUGAUGCCUUAGCAGUUGAAAGGGGCAGUUCAUCAGGUGCUGGGAAUGUAGCCGAUCGUGUUUUGGCUCAGCUCUUGACAGAAAUGGAUGGCAUUGAACAGUUAAAGGAUGUGACAAUCCUGGCAGCUACUAACCGUCCAGAUAGGAUAGACAAGCCUUAGAAGUUGAACUGUGGAACCCCCUGGCUCAUGCCUGCUCCAGCUCCAGCCUUCCAGGCAGGGUGACCCCAACGUGAUAUACCCCAGAAUUCCCCUAGCCUGCACCCACUCCAGCUCCAGCUGGCCUGCCAAAGAUGCACAGCACAUUCAAUCUACACAGGGGAUGCUUCCACACAAGGUGAUACCUUCAAGACCAGAAGAGCUGUGUGGCUGACAGGGUCCUGGUGCUCCGUCCGGGUGUCAGACGUGAGCCUCUGAGCUGGGAGAGCCAAGUCCAGGACACUGGACCACCAAAGACCUCCCGGCCCCAUGUAAUAUAAAUCGGCAAGAGAUAUCCCAGAGAUCUCCAUCUCAACACUAAGACCCAGCACCACCCAAUGUCCAGCAAGCUCCAGUGCUGGAUGCACCAUGCCAAACAACUAGCAAGACAGGAACACAACCCCACCCAUUAGCAGAGAGGUUGCCUGAAAUCAUACUAAGUUCACAGACACCCCAAACGCACCACUGGACACGGCCCUGCCCACCAGAAAGACAAGAUCCAGUCCCACCCACCAGAACACAUGCACCAGUCCCCUCCACCAGGAAGCCUACACACGCCCCUGAACCAACUUCACCCACUGACACCAAAAACAGACGGGAACUACGAACCGGUGGCCUGCAAAAAGGAGACCCCCAACAUGGUAAGUGAAACAAAACAAGAAGACAGAGAAAUGCGCAGCAGAUGAAGGAACAAGGUAAAAACCCACCAGACCGAACAAAUGAAGAGGAAAUAGGCAGUCUACCUGCAAAAGAGUUCAGAGUAAUGAUAGUAAAUAUGAUCCAAAAUCUUGGAAAUAGAAUGGAGAAAAUACAAGAAACGUUUAACAAGGACUUAGAAGCACUAAAGAGCAAUCAAACAAACAAUGCUGAACGACACAAUAAAUGAAAUUUAAAAUUCUCUAGAAGGAUUCAAUAGCAGAAUAACUGAGGCAGAAGAACGGAUAACUGACCUGGAAGAUAAAAUAGUGGAAAUAACUGCCACAGAGCAGAAUAAAGAAAAAAGAAUGGAAAGACUUGAGGACAUUCUCAGAGACCUCAGGCAAAACAUUAAACACACCAACAUUCGAAUAGUAGGGGUCCCAGAAGAA